GACGAACGCUGGCGGCGUGCUUAACACAUGCAAGUCGAGCGCUGAAGCCUUCGGGUGGAUGAGCGGCGAACGGGUGAGUAACACGUGGGUGACCUGCCCCCUACUCUGGGAUAAGCCUGGGAAACUGGGUCUAAUACCGGAUAUGACUUCCUAUCGCAUGGUGGGUUGUGGAAAGUUUUUCGGUGGGGGAUGGGCCCGCGGCCUAUCAGCUUGUUGGUGGGGUGAUGGCCUACCAAGGCGACGACGGGUAGCCGGCCUGAGAGGGCGACCGGCCACACUGGGACUGAGACACGGCCCAGACUCCUACGGGAGGCAGCAGUGGGGAAUAUUGCGCAAUGGGCGAAAGCCUGACGCAGCGACGCCGCGUGGGGGAUGACGGCCUUCGGGUUGUAAACCUCUUUCGCCAGGGACGAAGCGUAAGUGACGGUACCUGGAUAAGAAGCACCGGCCAACUACGUGCCAGCCGCCGCAGUAACAC
rnacentral:rRNA from 1 species